rnacentral:rRNA from 1 species
GAACUCGAAGAGUAGGGCGGGACACGUGGUAUCCUGUCUGAAUAUGGGGGGACCAUCCUCCAAGGCUAAAUACUCCUGACUGACCGAUAGUGAACCAGUACCGUGAGGGAAAGGCGAAAAGAACCCCGGCGAGGGGAGUGAAAAAGAACCUGAAACCGUGUACGUACAAGCAGUGGGAGCACCUUCGGGUGUGACUGCGUACCUUUUGUAUAAUGGGUCAGCGACUUAUAUUCUGUAGCAAGGUUAACCGUAUAGGGGAGCCGCAGGGAAACCGAGUCUUAACUGGGCGUUAAGUUGCAGGGUAUAGACCCGAAACCCGGUGAUCUAGCCAUGGGCAGGUUGAAGGUUGGGUAACACUAACUGGAGGACCGAACCGACUAAUGUUGAAAAAUUAGCGGAUGACUUGUGGCUGGGGG